GACGAACGCUGGCGGCGUGCCUAAUACAUGCAAGUCGAGCGAGUCUGCCUUGAAGAUCGGAGUGCUUGCACUCUGUGAAACAAGAUACAGGCUAGCGGCGGACGGGUGAGUAACACGUGGGUAACCUGCCCAAGAGAUCGGGAUAACACCUGGAAACAGAUGCUAAUACCGGAUAACAACAGAUGAUGCCUAUCAACUGUUUAAAAGAUGGUUCUGCUAUCACUCUUGGAUGGACCUGCGGUGCAUUAGCUAGUUGGUAGGGUAACGGCCUACCAAGGCGAUGAUGCAUAGCCGAGUUGAGAGACUGAUCGGCCACAUUGGGACGGAGACACGGCCCAAACUCCUACGGGAGGCAGCAGUAGGGAAUCUUCCACAAUGGACGCAAGUCUGAUGGAGCAACGCCGCGUGAGUGAAGAAGGGUUUCGGCUCGUAAAGCUCUGUUGUUGGUGAAGAAGGACAGGGGUAGUAACUGACCUUUGUUUGACGGUAAUCAAUUAGAAAGUCACGGCUAACUACGUG
rnacentral:rRNA from 1 species